GAUGAACGCUGGCGGCGUGCCUAAUACAUGCAAGUCGAGCGAACGGACGAGAAGCUUGCUUCUCUGAUGUUAGCGGCGGACGGGUGAGUAACACGUGGAUAACCUACCUAUAAGACUGGGAUAACUUCGGGAAACCGGAGCUAAUACCGGAUGAUAUUUUGAACCGCAUGGUUCAAAAGUGAAAGACGGUCUUGCUGUCACUUAUAGAUGGAUCCGCGCUGCAUUAGCUAGUUGGUAAGGUAACGGCUUACCAAGGCAACGAUGCAUAGCCGACCUGAGAGGGUGAUCGGCCACACUGGAACUGAGACACGGUCCAGACUCCUACGGGAGGCAGCAGUAGGGAAUAUUCCGCAAUGGGCGAAAGCCUGACGGAGCAACGCCGCGUGAGUGAUGAAGGUCUUCGGAUCGUAAAACUCUGUUAUUAGGGAAGAACAUAUGUGUAAGUAACUGUGCACAUCUUGACGGUACCUAAUCAGAAAGCAACGGCUAACUACGUG
rnacentral:rRNA from 1 species